ACGAAAAAUACCCAUUGAGUGAUUAUGAGUAAAAAUUUUGCCCAUUUAAUCUAGAAACCUACAAAAAAUUAAAAUUGAGCAACUUUUAUAAAAUAACUCACAAAUUUGACUUGAGUAAUAGUUACCCCUACAUCCAUUACUCAUAUACUUUAUAAACCCUCACUUUUUAAUAAGAGCCCAACAACUUUCACCAAAACUCUAAUCAAAGCUUUUCACUCUAGGGUGACGAGCUCUAUACCUUGUUGACGAAAUCACCUCAGAAUCUAGCUUAGGCUCUUUGGUAAAGAUUGGAGGGCAAGGGAGGAGACAUAUCGUUCCACAAAUGGAUUUUCCGUUGUGGCUGAGAACAAGAAACUUCUUGCGAACUUGUGAACUGGGCUCUUGUUCCUUAGUGGGUGGGUAUUUAUACAACAAUUUUUUUCUUAAUUUUUAUUGAAUAUUCAAUUUAAA
rnacentral:misc_RNA from 1 species